UCCUAAUAUAGCUCAGUUGGUUAGAGCAUGCUGCUGGUAAGGCCAAGGUUGCAGGUUCGAUCCCCGUAUGGGAC